ACCUGGCUUACACCGGUUUAAACUCAGAUCAUGUAAAAUUUUAAAGGUCGAACAGACCUAAUAUGAAAGCAUCUUCACCAACAAUUAAUUUUAAUCCAACAUCGAGGUCGCAAUCUUUUUCUUCGAUAAGAACUCUAAAAAAAAUUACGCUGUUAUCCCUAAGGUAAUUUUAUCUUGUAAUCUAAAUUUUAGGAUCAUAAAUUCAUAAAUAAAUGUACUAAUAAAAAAAAAGUUAUAUUAAUUUCUCUGUCACCCCAACAAAAUAUUUUUAUUGAUUAAAAUAAUUUUUAGACCUAAAUUUCAUCUAAUCAAUAAAAUAUAAAACUCUAAAGGGUCUUCUCGUCUUCUAUAUAUAUUUAAGCUUUUUAACUUAAAAAUAAAAUUCAAAUUAAUUUUUAUAGAGACAGUAAUUUUCUUAUCCAACCUUUCAUUCCAGCUUUCAAUUAAAAAACUAAUGAUUAUGCUACCUUUGCACGGUUAGUAUACCGCGGCCAUUAAACUCCUCAUUGGGCAGGUUAGACCUAAAAUUAUAAUCAAUAGGCC
rnacentral:rRNA from 1 species